AGGUGACAGGAAGUCACUAAUAAGCAUUUUUUUUUUACAACCAGGUAAACAGAAAAGCAUGAGUGUCUUAAGAUUCUCUGGAUUCCUCUAAAAAGAUUCAAUUGAGUCUUGCACUUUUCCGGUUUUCAUUUGACUCACCCUCAUAUAAUAUAUAAAGAAUCCUAUUGAUUAUCCUGAUUAUUAAAAGAGGAAAACAAUCAGCACUAUAACCUAUGACUCAAAUGGUGACUUUGUGUAAUUUUAGUGUGAGUAAUCAGUUAACACUUAAAAACCUGAAUCAGAUAAUGACUGUGCCAGUAAUAUUCCACUGAGACACUAAACCUUACACAAGUAUACUGUGUAUAACUAAAAGGAGCCAGUAAAAUCCAGGACAUUUGGGUUUGUUUUUUUUUUUAAUCGUGGUUGUCCCUGUGGAGGCAGUUGUGGUCAAUCAGCAAAGAAUCAUGGUUGUGUAACAGCUGGAUGUACGCAGUGAAGGACAAACUGCACCGCCAAGCUUACACCACUCCCAAGAUUACACAGAUAUUCUCCGUUCCCCACGAAAAGUCUAUAGCUUGCUCUGUUCUGCCCAUGAUGCCUGAUCCUCACUAAAUCUCUCUCAUCUCCAUCAUCACUCCUGUCUUAUUAUAAGAUGGAUGGUGGUAGCUAAAUUGGUUAAGGCUCUCGGCUGUUGAUCGGGUUCAAGUCCCAGCAACCACCAAGCUGCCACCGUUGGGCCCUUGAACAAGGACCAACUCCCUGCUCCAGGGGUGGUGCAUCAUGACUGACCCUGCACUCUGACCCCAACCCUUCAAGGAUGGGAUAUGUGAAGAAAGAAUUUCACUGUGCAGUAAUGUUCAUGUGACAAAUAAAGGCUACUUAUAAGGCCAGACGAGAAUUGAGGAUUGAGGAGAAUUGAGGUAGUUUACAGUACCUCAAAAAACCACACUUUACAGCCAUGUUGAGCACAAAAGCAUCUCAUAGCCUACACCAAAUCCUGUGGAUCAAGCGGAUGAGCUACAAAACAAGGGGACCACACUGGGGUUCAGUCCUGCUAGCCAAGAACAGUAAGCUACAGCAAUCACAGACUCUCUGAAACAGAAAAAAUGAACAUUGCUUGGUCUUUUUUCAAUUUUUAACCAUCCAGUUUUGUCUAAUAUUAUACUGAUAUUAUAUUUUGUAUUAUUUCUAGACAGAAACCAUGCCUUUGCUGCGUGUGGUACACAGCAGAAAUAGAACUCAAAUGUAAUAUUACGUUUGGCGUGCAUCGACCAUGCCACCGUGUCCUUGCCACGUCUGCUGCAUAAAAUGGGAUUUAUUUAUUCCUAAGCUCUGAUCCUGAUCCCAAAAUCUGUUCCUGACCUCAGCUCCAUCACUGGUCAAACUCUGCUGGUGCCGUCAGACUUUCC